UUUCAGGUGGCAGAUUAAUGCAUAGGCUUUAAGCGCCUUUUAUGGGUUUAAGCCCCCAGAAAA
rnacentral:tRNA from 1 species